UUCUUUACUACGGGUGGAAGGAGUGUGUC
rnacentral:piRNA from 1 species